CAACAACAAGCAGGAGCAAGAAAAUCAACAAUGAACAUCUCCAAAUUAAAACUAAGUUCACAAAAGUCGAGUCAUAAUAGAUGACUUUGUUGAGAGUAUUACCGAGCAUAAUGUCUGUAUGUUAGUAAUGUCUGUAUUUUAAUGGCUUCAUCGGCUGCUUUAACUAAUAUAUGUAUGUUUAUUAUUACCUAAUUAAGUG
rnacentral:lncRNA from 1 species